AGUGAACGCUGGCGGUAGUCCUAACACAUGCAAGUCGAACGGCAGCACAGUAAGAGCUUGCUCUUACGGGUGGCGAGUGGCGGACGGGUGAGGAAUACAUCGGAAUCUACUUUUUCGUGGGGGAUAACGUAGGGAAACUUACGCUAAUACCGCAUACGACCUACGGGUGAAAGCAGGGGAUCUUCGGACCUUGCGCGAUUGAAUGAGCCGAUGUCGGAUUAGCUAGUUGGCGGGGUAAAGGCCCACCAAGGCGACGAUCCGUAGCUGGUCUGAGAGGAUGAUCAGCCACACUGGAACUGAGACACGGUCCAGACUCCUACGGGAGGCAGCAGUGGGGAAUAUUGGACAAUGGGCGCAAGCCUGAUCCAGCCAUACCGCGUGGGUGAAGAAGGCCUUCGGGUUGUAAAGCCCUUUUGUUGGGAAAGAAAAGCAGCAGGUUAAUACCCCGCUGUUCUGACGGUACCCAAAGAAUAAGCACCGGCUAACUUCGUG
rnacentral:rRNA from 1 species